GAAGGAGGAAAAGGAGAGACCGUUUCUGGAAAUUUUCGGAAUGGAGGAGUUGGAAAGAUUUUGAAUUUUCUCUGUAUUUUAAUAAUGAAAAAUCUUUCCAAUUCCUCCCAUUCCACUGAUUUCCAGCACUUCCUCUCCAUUUUCUUACCUUU
rnacentral:pre_miRNA from 1 species